GACAGAGGUGCCGAGCGUUAGGCGGAAUCACUGGGCUUAAAGCGUGUGUAGGCGGGUCGUUAAGUGUCUUGUGAAAUCCCACCGCUCAACGGUGGAACCGCUGGGCAUACUGGCGAUCUUGAGCAGUGCAGGGGCGAGCGGAACAAGCGGUGGAGCGGUGAAAUGCGUAGAUAUCAGGAGGAACACCAGUGGCGAAGGCGGCUCACUGGCCCGGUACUGACGCUGAGGUGCGAAAGCGUGGGGAGCAAACAGG
rnacentral:rRNA from 1 species